rnacentral:ncRNA from 1 species
CACCUCGAUGUCGGCUCAUCGUAUCCUGGGGCUGGAUAAGGUCCCAAGGGUCCGGCUGUUCGCCGGUUAAAACGGUACGCGAGCUGGGUUUAGAACGUAGAUAACACUGCGUUUUUCCGUAGUAAUACGGAAAAAGUCUUGACUUAUAUCGGUGGAGCCCGACUUACACAUACCGAACGUGUAAAGGGUAAUACCGAGGGAAGAUUAUAGAUGGAAGAAACAGUAAAAGCUUAUAUAGCUGGUUUUCUUGACGGCGAUGGAAGCAUAAUGUUUCAGCUUAUCGAACGAAAAGGCUAUGUCUAUGGCUAUCAAAUUCGGGCAAGUGUAUGCUUUUAUCAAGACUCUAACCAUAAAGAUGGAUUAAGGUGGUUAAGAGAAAAAAUCGGGUUCGGUUACAUCCGAGACAGAAACGAUGGUGUGAGUGAUUAUACUAUCGUAGGUUAUGAGAAAGCAGAACAAGUGCUCAAAAUGGUUAAACCAUACGCAGUUUUUAAAACAGUUCAUGUAAGCAGAGCGUUAGAGCUUUUAGACGCUAUACGAGAAAAUCGAAAGCCAAGCCCGGAACAAUUUUUGGGUCUGGCAAAGCUGGUUGAUUCUUACGCAAUCCUUAACUAUUCAAAAAAGAAGAUAAAUAAUGCGGUUAAAGUAGAAGAAUUUUUGAAUAGAAAGGGUCUAUUAAUCCCCGUAACGACUGAUUCCUGCAAUAAGGAUGAGAUGGUUCUCAAUUUAUAAGAGCCAUAAUACGUCAACUCCCCGAAAGGGGAUGAAGAUAUAGUCUGUGCCGCUGGUAACAGUGUGUAAAACAUGCGUGAGACAGUUCGGUCUCUAUCUGAUGUGGGUGUAAGGAUACUUGAAGAGGAGCUCCCUAUAGUACGAGAGGACCUGGGGAGACGGACCUCUGGUGUUUCAGUUGUCCUGCCAAGGGCAGAAGCUGAGUAGCCAUGUUCGGAAGGGAUAAGCGCUGAAAGCAUCUAAGUGCCAAGCCCCCCUCAAAAAUAGGUAUCCCUUCCCGACACCGUAAGGCGUCGGGAUGAAGGCUGGCCGGAGACUACGGCCUUGAUAGGCGCAGGGUGUAAGAUCCGUAAGGAUUUGAGCUGAUGCGUACUAAUAGCCAAUCGGCUUGACCAC